CAGUAGCCGCGGGAAUACGUAGGUGGCAAGCGUUGUCCGGAAUUAUUGGGCGUAAAGGGCUCGCAGGCGGUUUCUUAAGUCUGAUGUGAAAGCCCCCGGCUCAACCGGGGAGGGUCAUUGGAAACUGGGAGACUUGAGUGCAGAAGAGGAGAGUGGAAUUCCACGUGUAGUGGUGAAAUGCGUAGAGAUGUGGAGGAACACCAGUGGCGAAGGCGACUCUCUGGUCUGUAACUGACGCUGAGGAGCGAAAGCGUGGGGAGCGAACAGGAUUAGAUACCCGCGUAGUCCCUGUCUCUUAUAC
rnacentral:rRNA from 1 species